rnacentral:rRNA from 1 species
GACGAACGCUGGCUGCGUGCUUAACACAUGCAAGUCGAACGCUGAAGCCCUGGUGCUUGCACCGGGGUGGAUGAGUGGCGAACGGGUGAGUAACACGUGAGUAACCUGCCCCCGACUUCGGGAUAAGCCCGGGAAACUGGGUCUAAUACCGGAUAUGACGACCGAAGGCAUCUUUGGUUGUGGAAAGUUUUUUCGGUUGGGGAUGGGCUCGCGGCCUAUCAGUUUGUUGGUGAGGUAAUGGCUCACCAAGACGACGACGGGUAGCCGGCCUGAGAGGGCGACCGGCCACACUGGGACUGAGACACGGCCCAGACUCCUACGGGAGGCAGCAGUGGGGAAUAUUGCACAAUGGGGGAAACCCUGAUGCAGCGACGCAGCGUGCGGGAUGACGGCCUUCGGGUUGUAAACCGCUUUCAGCAGGGAAGAAGCCUUUCGGGGUGACGGUA